rnacentral:rRNA from 2 species
AGUUCUCGUUGAUGAUCGGUGCUUGCACCGAGAUUCAACAUGGAACGUAGUGGCGGACGGGUGAGUAACACGUGGGUAACCUGCCCUUAAGUGGGGGAUAACAUUUGGAAACAGAUGCUAAUACCGCAUAGAUCCAAGAACCGCAUGGUUCUUGGCUGAAAGAUGGCGUAAGCUAUCGCUUUUGGAUGGACCCGCGGCGUAUUAGCUAGUUGGUGAGGUAAUGGCUCACCAAGGCGAUGAUACGUAGCCGAACUGAGAGGUUGAUCGGCCACAUUGGGACUGAGACACGGCCCAAACUCCUACGGGAGGCAGCAGUAGGGAAUCUUCCACAAUGGACGCAAGUCUGAUGGAGCAACGCCGCGUGAGUGAAGAAGGCUUUCGGGUCGUAAAACUCUGUUGUUGGAGAAGAAUGGUCGGCAGAGUAACUGUUGUCGGCGUGACGGUAUCCAACC